AACUACCAUAACAGUGCCCACAAACAGCAUGGCAACAAGCUAGGUGUUCUUGCGGCUGCCUCCCGCUGUUGUUAUUACAAGUGCAAUUCAGGCUCUUCAUUUCAUUUGGAUGAAGCAACCGAACACAAGUGCACAACCAGAAUAAAGAUGUGGAGAUGAAGAACUCAUUUUUUCUAAUCCAUGGAGUUCAUUUCUCCUAAAUUUUGAAGUUCACAUCUCCUGCUAAUUGGAGCUAGAUUUUUCUUGGAUUAUGGUCUGCUAGCUGCAAUGCUUGAGCGUUCCAGUUCGCCAGCGCCUCCCUCCGGUAACCACUGUGCUCGAUUGGGAAAUUCACUGUGAGCAUCCUGGAAGUUCACCUCCACACAGUUUGGUUCAUUCGCAGACUAGAUAUUACAUCAUUUUUGUCAAAGCAGAGGGUAACAUUGAAUCUCCGGCCAACGGUGCUGCUCCCUAAUUUGGUGAAGUUCACAUCUCCUGCUAGUUUAGAUAUUCCUGCUAGGUGAAUUAGUCUUUCCAAAUUUGAUUUUAUUUGUUAACUGAAUUUCGAAGCUCACAAAUGAAGAAAUCUGAAGUUCAGAAAUAGAAACAAAGCUGCAGCCAUUGCUCCUGGUACUUGGUCUCGCCAACGACCUCACAACUAGCCCCGCGGGGUUCGGGAGCACCAUGCUGUUCUGUGUUUGUUGUCCGGUCGGUAGUUUCGUGAGACGUUCAGAUAUAGGAACCCAAUCUACAAAAGGUAUACUCUACCUUUUAUUCCAGGAAGUAAAUCUGACAAUACUUGGAGCUCUCUUAAGAUGGCGUUUGGGGUACUUAGCGGAGGUUCAACUACGAUCUACAUCCCGUGGAUUCGUUGGUGUCAACAUGUCAGCAUCAUAUACAUCAGGGAAGUGCACUCCAUACAUUCGGGCAGUUCACUCUGUGUGAUAAAUUUUUAGAAUGUACCACGUUGUUUCUCAUGGUUCAGUUUUUUUCUUUCCUGAAGUUCAGUUCAUCAUAAUGCAUCAAGUUCACUUAUCAUAAGCUAUGUGUUGCACUGUUGCCGCCUACAGGAUGACGUGCAAUUUCAGGGAAUGUAUGAUUUGUGGCAGGCUGUGAAUGGAGUUACCAGCACAUGUGGUAAUAACAUGUAAUUUAGAAGUCCACUUGCAUUGUCCGAGCAUUACACAUAUACAACAAGGACUCCUCGAGUGCUGCCACCCCGACAAGGCGAUGCUGCAUAGGACGAGGACAUAAACGUGGUGCCAGCCUUGCACUACUUCCUGGUGGUGGACACGGCUUGCCAGUCGCUCCCUUUUAAUGGUGGCGUCGAACCCAACUGUUGCGCCGCUGGGGCGUCUGGUGCAAGAGCAUUGCGGCACGGCGUAGGCUGACUGAAGUUUACUGAUACCAAUUCCUGAAGUUCAUGUCUCCUGAUAGUUCAUUUUAGAGUAUUUCUGCUAGUUGGAUUUUUAUUUCAAUCUGCUAGGUGAAUUAUUCCUGAUGUUCGCAUUUGAUGUUUGUGCUGCGGGGUGGAUGAUUUUUGUACAUUAACUGUGUGAAGUUCACUCUUAUGCAUCUAGGGGAGCAUUACAUUUCUUUGUGAAAAA